rnacentral:rRNA from 1 species
CCUACGGGUGGCUGCAGUGGGGGAUAUUGCACAAUGGGGGAAACCCUGAUGCAGCGACGCCGCGUGUGGGAAGACGGUUCUCUGGAUUGUAAACCACUGUCAUCAGGGACGAAGAUGACGGUACCUGGGGAGGAAGCUCCGGCUAACUACGUGCAGUCAGCCGCGGUACUACGUAGGGAGCAAGCGUUGCCGGGAUUUACUGGGUGUAACGGGAGCGUUGGGGGGAUUGCAGGUUGGGUGUUAAAUCUACCGGCUAAACUGGGAGUCGCACACGAAACUGCUAUUCUUGAGUGAAGUAGAGGCAGGCGGAAUUCGUGGUGUAGCGGUGAAAUGCGUAGAUAUUAGGAGGAACACCAGUGGCGAAGGCGGCCUGCUGGGCUUUUACUGACGCUGAGGCUCGAAAGUGUGGGGAGCAAACAGGAUUAGAUACCCUAGUAGUC